rnacentral:rRNA from 1 species
UACACUCCUGCGGGAGGCAGCAGUGGGGAAUAUCGCACAAUGGGCGCAAGCCUGAUGCAGCCAUGCCGCGUGUAUGAAGAAGGCCUUCGGGUUGUAAAGUACUUUCAGCGGGGAGGAAGGCGAUAAGGUUAAUAACCUUGUCGAUUGACGUUACCCGCAGAAGAAGCACCGGCUAACUCCGUGCCAGCAGCCGCGGUAAUACGGAGGGUGCAAGCGUUAAUCGGAAUUACUGGGCGUAAAGCGCACGCAGGCGGUCUGUCAAGUCGGAUGUGAAAUCCCCGGGCUCAACCUGGGAACUGCAUUCGAAACUGGCAGGCUAGAGUCUUGUAGAGGGGGGUAGAAUUCCAGGUGUAGCGGUGAAAUGCGUAGAGAUCUGGAGGAAUACCGGUGGCGAAGGCGGCCCCCUGGACAAAGACUGACGCUCAGGUGCGAAAGCGUGGGGAGCAAACAGGAUUAGAAACCCCGGUAGUCCCAUGA